rnacentral:rRNA from 1 species
GACGAGCGCUGGCGGCGUGCAUAACACAUGCAAGUCGAACGAUGAAGAAGGAGAAUGGAGACUUCGGUCAAAGUUCGCUUCGGAUUAGUGGCAGACGGGUGAGUAACGCGUGAGCAACCUACCUCUUACAAAGGGAUAGCCAUGGGAAACCGUGGCUAAUACCGAAUAAUCCAUUUCCUCACAUGGGGAGAUGUUAAAAGACGGUUUCGGCUGUCACUACAGGAUGGGCCCGCGGCGCAUUAGCUAGUUGGUGAGGUAACGGCUCACCAAGGCGACGAUGCGUAGCCGACCUGAGAGGGUGAUCGGCCACACUGGGACUGAGACACGGCCCAG